CAGUUUUGGCUCAACUUCUUUUUUGUCAAGACUGAGUCCAUUGUGGCUGAUGUCACGGACUUCCCGGAGUCUUAAAACCACGCUACUACUGCUCGGAGCCUCCAAUUGGUGACGCAUCUCAAUUUGGUCAGGCAGGUCCUUCCUUGUACUGUGGGAAUCCGAGAUUGGCCUAGCUUCUGGCAAAAGUACAAACCGGCUCCCCCCAGAAAGAUCCAGGCAUUGGCAAUAGCGGACUUCAGGAGUGAGCCUUGUAGUCGUCAGAGGAGACUCGAGGUAGUGCUGCAUGAUUGCUCGCAGACCCUUGGAGUCCCAUUCCCUGAUCUUUCGUAUUUUUAUUUAUGCAUUCGGACAAUAUUGUAUUUUUGAGAGAUUUCAUAGUAUUCUGUUUUAGAGCCUAUGACUUCAUACUACCAGGUUAUGGGGAUUUGAUGUUGUAGUG